rnacentral:rRNA from 1 species
GACGAACGCUGGCGGCGUGCUUAACACAUGCAAGUCGAGCGAGAAGACGUAGCAAUACGUUUGUAAAGCGGCGAACGGGUGAGGAAUACAUGGGUAACCUACCCUCGAGUGGGGAAUAACUAGCCGAAAGGUUAGCUAAUACCGCGUACGCUCCUUGGACUUCGGUUCAGGGAGGAAAGCGAUACCGUGGGUAUCGCGCUCUUGGUUGGGCUCAUGUCCUAUCAGCUUGUUGGGAGGUAACGGCUCACCAAGGCUUCGACGGGUAGCUGGUCUGAGAGGACGAUCAGCCACACUGGCACUGCGACACGGGCCAGACUCCUACGGGAGCAGCAGUAAGGAAUAUUGCGCAAUGGGCGAAAGCCUGACGCAGCGACGCCGCGUGGGGGAGUGAAGGUCUUCGGAUUGUAAACCCCUUUCGGGAGGGAAGAUGGAACGAGCAAUCGUUCGGACGGUACCUCCAGAAGCAGCCACGGCUAACUUCGUGCCAGCAGCCG